AAGAGUUCUAUAACUCCCAAACCCAUGUGAACAUACCUAACGUUGCCUCGGCAGGUCGCACCUACCUUGUAGCACCCUACCCUGUAGGGCCUACCCGGGAGGUGCGGGUAAGCCUGCCGGCGGCCCACCAAACUCUGUUUGAUAUUGAAUUCUGAACCUAUAACUAAAUAAGUUAAAACUUUCAACAACGGAUCUCUUGGUUCUGGCAUCGAUGAAGAACGCAGCGAAAUGCGAUAAGUAAUGUGAAUUGCAGAAUUCAGUGAAUCAUCGAAUCUUUGAACGCAUAUUGCGCCCAUUAGUAUUCUAGUGGGCAGGACCGUUCGAGCGUCAUUUCAACCCUUAAGCCUUCGUUGCUUAGUGUUGGGAGCCUACGGCAACGUAGCUCCUCAAAGUUAGUGGCGGAGUUGGUUCACACUCUAGACGUAGUAAUUUUUUAUCUCGCCUAUUAGUUGGACUAAUCCCCUGCCGUAAAACCCCUAAUUUAUCAAGGUUGACCUCGAAUCGGUUCAGACAAACUCGCUAAAUUGAAGCAUCUUAGUCAGCGAAGGAAAAGAAACCAACAGGGAUUGCCCUAGUAACGGCGAGUGAAGCGGCAACAGCUCAAAUUUGAAAUCUGGCCCUCGGGUCCGAGUU
rnacentral:rRNA from 1 species